AUUGAACGCUGGCGGCAGGCCUAACACAUGCAAGUCGAGCGGCAGCGGGAAAGUAGCUUGCUACUUUUGCCGGCGAGCGGCGGACGGGUGAGUAAUGCCUGGGAAAUUGCCCAGUCGAGGGGGAUAACAGUUGGAAACGACUGCUAGUACCGCAUACGCCCUACGGGGGAAAGCAGGGGACGUUCGGGCCCUGCGUGAUUGGAUAUGCCCAGGUGGGAUUAGCUAGUUGGUGAGGUAAUGGCGCACCAAGGCGACGAUCCCUAGCUGGUCUGAGAGGAUGAUCAGCCACACUGGAACUGAGACACGGUCCAGACUCCUACGGGAGGCAGCAGUGGGGAAUGUUGCACAAUGGGGGAAACCCUGAUGCAGCCAUGCCGCGUGUGUGAAGAAGGCCUUCGGGUUGUAAAGCACUUUCAGCGAGGAGGAAAGGUUGAUGCCUAAUACGUAUCAACUGUGACGUUACUCGCAGAAGAAGCACCGGCUAACUCCGUGCCAGCCGCCGCGGUAAAAC
rnacentral:rRNA from 1 species